rnacentral:rRNA from 1 species
UACGAAGGGGGCUAGCGUUGCUCGGAAUCACUGGGCGUAAAGGGUGCGUAGGCGGGUCUUUAAGUCAGAGGUGAAAUCCUGGAGCUCAACUCUAGAACUGCCUUUGAUACUGAGGAUCUUGAGUACGGGAGAGGUGAGUGGAACUGCGAGUGUAGAGGUGAAAUUCGUAGAUAUUCGCAAGAACACCAGUGGCGAAGGCGGCUCACUGGCCCGAUACUGACGCUGAGGCACGAAAGCGUGGGGAGCAAACAGG